ACGCUGGGCAGCUACCUCAAUACUCUUAAUAGCUCGAGAAAUCAACAGCAGCAGCACUAAGUCUCUGGAGCACCUGAAUCUGCACACAAAGUGCAGUGAAUAUGGGGUGAGUCUACCAGCUCAGCGAGUAAAAGCAUGUAUAAAAACCCGAAAGCAUGAAAUCCAUAAUAAAGCACAGAGUAAAGCUAGUUAAGCAGUUCUAUACAGUACAAGUCUCAGAUAUAUCCAAACAAAGCAACAGCAAAAAAUAAAUGCAUGAGAUGCAAUGCAAUGCAUGACCACUGCGGAACGUGCUGUCCGAUCCAUUUCGGUACCCGCACUCACUGUGGGGGUUCAGACUCCGGAGGGGCUCCUACAGCCCAAGCGCAAUAUUCCGAUCCAUUUGGGUACCCGCGCUCACUGUGGGGGUUCAGACUCUGGAGGGGCACCUACAGCCCAAGCGCAAUAUCAUAGUAACAUACGCUGCGGCGCACAGCCCGAUCCACUAUCAGUCCAGCUACAUGCAUGCAAGCCUCACAGGCACAUAUAUCUUGCCAUUUUUAGUUCAGUUUAUUAGAAAUCUUAGGAUUAGGUGUCAAACCUCAAUAUUUACCAAAUAAUGUUGAACAGUAUUUUAGUGCAGGACUAAUGUCAUGAAAACAUGCUAUAAUGCAUAGAAAUAGUGAUAAAGAUCCUCAGGGGAUACAAUUAACCGGCACACAGCCCAAAUAUAUUCAUAACCAUCAAAGUAGGAGGUUGACCGGCCCAUCUAUAGCCAACAACACUCUAUAAUGACACUCGGUCGGACUAAGCCGUACUCCCCAAUCAUAAUCGACCCCGCACUCGCAGUAGAAUACGUGUCUCGCCUCAAUACAGAGUCACAAUGUGAUAUACCGGGGUUUCGAACCCUCAGGUCAUCAUCUACACCCACUACUCACUUCAAGCCGGCCGCAAACUAGCUCGUAAUGCCUUUACCUCGAGAAUCAACCUCCACGGAUGCCAAAUCUCCUCAAAACCAAUAGGAAUACGUCAAAAUAGGCUAAUGGAACAUAACCCAAUCGAAAUAUCUCGAAAUACACCCAAAAAUACGAAGUUGGCAAAACCUGGGCCCUGAGCCCACUUCUAAAAAAAUUAUAAAAUUUACAUUUUCAGAAUCCUCGUCUCGCCACGAGUCCAUACAUAUCCAAUUUACAAGAAUCGGAGUCCAUUUGACCCCUCAAAUCAACUCUUUAAGGUUCACUUGGGUUUCAAUACCUAACCACCAUUUCGACAUUAAAGACAUUGAUUUCUAAGUGUUUAAUCCAUGAUUUAGCACCAUAAUCACAUAUUCGAGGUCUAAGAGAUAGAGGAGAUAAUCAGACUCCUGCUACACGCACUCUGGAGCCAGUAGCUCCCCAGGUUCAAGUUCCAGUGGUUCAUCCAGCUGUGGCAGUUCAGCCAGGCAUAGUGACUCAGACUGGUGAGGGUGCAGCUAUGUCCGCCGAUGCUUUUUUGAGAUUGGACAGAUUCACCAAACUCUUUACCAGUAUAUUCAGUGGUACUUCUUUAGAGGAUCCCCAAGACUUUUUAUAUAGCUUCCAUGAGGUUCUCCGGACUAUGGUUAUUGUGGAGACCAAUGGUGUUGACUUUGCCAAUUUUCAUCUAUCUGGAUCCGCCAAGACUUGGUGGAGAGACUUAUGUUUAUCCAAACCAGAAGGGUCGUUAUCUUUGACUUCUAGUUUGCACGAUUAUUUUUGGAGAAGUUUCUACCAGUGACUCAGAGGGAGACUCUUGCAGACAGUUUGAGUGCCUUCAGCAGGGCUCGAUAUUAGUUACACAAUAUGAGACCCGUUUUAUUAAUCUAGCUUGGCAUGCCAUCAUUAUACUCCCUACCGAUAGAAAGAGGGUGAGAAGGUUUAUUAAUGGCUUGAUUCAGCCCAUUCGUCUUCAGAUGGCUGUGGGAACCGGGAGUGAGAUCACCUUUCAGGAGGCGGCCAAUGCAGCCCGCCAGAUCGAGAUGGCUUUGUCUCAGAGAGGAGGUCAUGGGUCGGAUAAGAGACCCCGUGGUUCAGGCAGAUUCAGUGGUACCUCGUCUGGAGGUAGAGAUUCUUAUGGUAGAGGCCAUCCUCCUAGGCAUUUUCAGUCAUCCCUUCAGGCUUCUCAUGGUACUUCAGGCAACAAUGGUUCUCAACAGUAUUAUUCUGAGCAGCAGUUUUUCAGUGCGCUACCAGCACGAACCAGUGCACCGCCACUUUAGAGCUUCGGGGGAGGAUCUUCAGGUCGACAAGUCCAGCAGUCUCACCAGCCGAGGUUUUGUCAUAGUUGUGGUGAUCUGGGCCACAUUAUCAGAUUUUGCCCUCGAGUUUGGGGCAGACAACAGAGUUCUCGUGCUAUGAUUCUGGCACCAGAGGAUCUACAGCCUGCCCAGCUAGCUAGAAGAGGUGGAAGGGGCACUAGAGGUGGAGGUAAAGGUCAUAGAGGUGGAGCUCAGACCGACAGAGGUAGAGGUCAGCCAGCAGCUGAUCGUUCCAGAGAUAUUGCUCAGGAAAAUGGGACCCAUCCCCGAUGCUAUGCACUUCAGGAUAGACCAGAGGCUGAGUCCUUUGAUGCAGUUAUUACAGGUACUAUUCUGGUUUGUGAUAGAGAAGCUUUAUUGCUAUUUGACCAUGGAUCUAUAUAUUCAUACGUGUUUUCUUAUUUUGCACUGUACAUGGUUCAGACUAGUGAUCCACUGGGUGUUCCGAUCUAUGUGCUACACCAGUGGGUGACUCCAUUGUGGUUGAUCAAGUUCAUCGGCCUUGUGCUAUGGCGAUUGGGGGUCUUGAGACCCGUGUUGAUUUAUUGAUUCUAAAUAUGGUUGACUUUGAUUUCAUAUUGGGAAUGGACUGUAUCAUGCUAUCUUGGAUUGUCAUGCCAAGACCGUAACUUUAGCUCUGCCAAAUUUUCCUCGUAUUGAAUGGAAGGGAAUUUCUAGUUAUAUUAACCGCAAUGUUAUUUCAUAUGUUAAGGCUCAACGUAUAGUUGAAAACGGGUGUUUGGCUUAUCUAGCCUAUGUUCGCGAUUCCAGCACCGAGGCUCCUUCCAUUGAUUCGGUGCACGUGGUUUGUGAGUUUUCUGAGGUAUUCCCUUCAGGCCUGCCAGGUAUGCCACCCAACAGGAAUAUUGAUUUUUGCAUUGAUCUGGCUCGGGCACUUAGCCCAUUUCUAUUCCUCCAUAUCGUAUGGCGCCACCGGAAUUAAAAGACUUGAAGGAACAGUUGCAGGGUUUACUUAAAAAAGGUUUCAUUAGACCUAGUGUUUCACCUUGGGGUGAACCAGUAUUAUUUGUUAAGAAUAAAGAUGGUUCGAUGCGAAUGUGCAUUGGUUACCGGCAAUUGAACAAAGUUAUAAUCAAGAACAAGUAUCCAUUUCCACGGAUUGAUGAUUUAUUUGACCAACUUCAGGGUGCCAAGGUAUUUUCAAAGAUAGAUUUGAGAUCUAGCUACCAUCAGUUGAAGAUUAGGGCAUCGGAUGUUCCUAAGACAGCUUUCCGUACUUGGUAUGGAAAUUAUGAAUUUCUGGUCAUUUCUUUUGGGUUGGCAAAUGCCCCAGCAGCUUUUAUGGAAUUGAUAAACAGAGUGUUCAUGCCUUAUUUAGACUUAUUCAUUAUCGUCUUCAUUGAUGAUAUUUUGAUAUACUCCCGCAGUCAGGAGGAUCAUGCAUAACAUUUCAGAGUGGCUCUUCAGACUUUGAAGAAUAGUCAACUAUUUGCAAAAUUUUCAAAAUGUGAAUUUUGGCUAGGUUCAGUUGCAUUCCUGGGUCACAUUUUACGGCAGAAGGUAUUCAAGUUGAUCCGAGGAGUAUUGAGGUAGUCAAGAACUGGCCUAGACCAGCAUCAGCCACAAGAUCCGGAGUUUCUUGGGAUUAGCAUGUUAUUAUCGCCGAUUUGUGGAGGGGUUUUCAUCUAUUGUAACCCCGAUGACCAGAUUGACCCAAAAAGGGUUCCAAUUCGAAUGGUCAGAUGAAUGUGAGGCAAGCUUUCAAAAUCUCAAGACAGUCUUGAUCACAACACCAAUGUUAGUAUUGCCCAUAGGUUCGGGACCUUAUACUGUUUAUUGAGAUGCUUCCCGUAUUGGGCUUUGUGCAGUAUUGAUGCAGGAUAGCAAGGUUAUUGCCUAUGCUUCGAGGCAGUUGAAGAUUCAUGAAAAGAACUAUCCAGUUCAUGACUUGGAAUUGGCGGCGAUUGCUCACGAGUUGAAGAUUUGGAGGCAUUAUUUGUAUGGCGUGGCAUGUGAGGUAGUCACUGAUCACAAAAGCCUUCAGUACCUGUUUAAGCAGAAUGAGUUGAAUUUGAGGUAGAGAAAAUGGCUGGAAUUGUUCAAAGAUUAUGAUAUCACCAUCUUAUAUCAUCCGAGAAAGGCAAAUGUGGUGGCCGAUGCUUUGAGCACGAAGUCAGCUAGUAUGGGCAGUCUUGCUUAUAUUUCGGUCAGUCAGAGGCCGCUUGCUAUGAAUGUUCAGGCCCUAGCCUAUCGUUUUGUGAGAUUGGAUAUUUCUGAGCCUAGUCGAGUGCUAGCUUGCACGGUCGCUCGCUCUUCAUUAUUUGAACAUAUUCGCGAUCGAUAGUUUGAUGAUCGCCGUUUAUGUGUUCUUAAGGACACGUUCCAGCGAGGAGGUGCCAAGAAGGUCACCAUAGAUACUGAUGGAGUUCUGAGAUUGCAAGGGAAAAUUUAUGUGCCAGAUGUGGAUAGGCUUCGAGAAUUGAUUCUCGAAGAAGCUCACAGUUCCCGGUAUUCUAUUCAUCCAGGCGCAGCAAAGAUGUAUCAGGAUUUGCGGCAACAUUAUUGGUGGCGUAGAAUGAAAAAAGAUAUUGUGGCGUAUGUGGUGCGAUGUUUGAAUUGUCAGCAUGUUAAAUAUGAGCAUCAGAGGCCUGGUGUUUAUUUCAGAAAAUUGAGCUUCCUGAGUGGAAGUGGGAGCGGAUCACUAUGGACUUCGUUACUGGCCUCCCGAUGACUCAGAAGAAGUUUGAUGCGGUUUGGGUUAUUGAUGAUAGGCUGACCAAGUCAGCACAUUUUGUUCCUAUUGCCACCACUUACUCGUCCGAGAGGUUAGCGAGAAUUUAUUUCAGGAGAUAGUUCGCUUUCAUGGGGUGCCUGUAUCUAUUAUAUUUGAUCGAGGUCCGCAGUUUACCUCACAUUUCCGGAAGGCAUUUGAGAAAGAGUUGGGCACCUAGGUUCAGUUGAGUACAACAUUUGAUCCCCAGACAGACGGUCAGUCCGAGAGGACUAUUAAGAUAUUGGAGGAUAUGCUCCGGGCUUGUGUUAUUGAUUUUGGUGGUUCGUGGGAUCAUUUACUGCCUUUGACAGAGUUUGCUUAUAAUAAUAGCUAUCAAUCGAGCAUUCAAAUGGAUCCUUAUGAAGCAUUGUAUGGUAGACAAUGUCGUUUUCCGGUUGGAUGGUUUGAACCGGGAGAGGCUCGGUUGUUGGGUAGGAUACAGUUAAGGAGGCCUUAUAUAAGGUCAAGAUUAUUCAGGAUAGGCUUCGUACAGCUCCGUCCAGGCAGAAGAGUUAUGCAAACCGCAAGGUUAGAGAUUUAGCUUUCAUGAUUGGUGAGCCGGUAUUGCUCCGUGUAUCGCCUAUGAAAGGCGUGAUGAGAUUUGGUAAGAAGGGCAAGCUUAGCUAUAGGUUUAUUGGCCCAUUCGAGAUCCUUGAUCGUGUGGGAAGGGUGGCUUAUAAGCUUGAUUUGCCACCUAAUUUAUCAACUGUGCAUCCAGUGUUUCAUGUAUCCAUGCUCCAAAAAUAUCACGACAAUCCAUCGCACGUAUUAGAUUUCAGCACUGUCCAAUUGCACAAGGAUCUGUCUUAUGAGGAGGAGUCGGUGGCUAUAUUAGACCAGCAGGUUCUACAGUUGAGGUCGAAAAGUUUUCCUUCCGGGCGUGUACAGUGGAGUGGUCAGCCUCCUGAGGCAUCGACCUGGGAGUCCGAGACUGACAUGCGGAGCCGUUAUCCACAUCUAUUCCCUGACUCAGGUACUUCUUUCUUUUGCCCGUUCGAGGACGAACAGUUGUUGAGGUGGAGAAUGUGACGACCCAAAGGGUCAUCACUUGUUUUAUUAGCCAUUUCGAGCUUCAAAGGUCUUGAAAACCUCACUAUUAGUUGCCUCGAUUUGCGUGCGUGGUCCGAGCGCGAAGCCGGAAUUUUUUUAUGUUGAUAUAUAUGAAUUAUGUGAAAAAAUUGAAGAAUUUUGAUAUUAAUAUUGAUAAAAUUGACUUUGAUCAAUAUUUUUGGUAAACGGACCCGGACCCGUGAUUUGACGCUCUCGGAAGGUUCGUAGAAAAAUAUGAGACUUGGGCGUAUGCCUGAAAUCGAAUUCCGAGGUCCCAGGCCGAGAAAAGAAUUUUUUCGUGAAAUUUGUUUUCUGAAAAUGCUUAAGGAAAUGAAAAUGAAAUUUGAUUAGAAAGUAAUGGUAUCGGGCUCGUAUUUUGGUUCUAACACCCGGUACAGGUCAUAUAUGUUGUUUAUGCGCUUCCUGUAAAGUUUUGUUGAAAACGAACGUCAUUUGACAUGUUUCAACUUUAAAUUGGAAAAUUUGGAAGUUUAUGAAAAAUAGAAAGAUUUCUUGUGAUUUAAGGCUCAAUUCUUUGAUUUUGAUGGUAUUUUGGCGAUUUGAUCGCUCGAGCAAGUUCGUAUGAUGUUAUUGAGUUAGUGUGCAUAUUUGGUUUGGAGCCUCGAGGGCUCGGGACUGUUUUGGAGGUGGUUCGGGGUGUUUUUGGACUUGGAAAAUCUGGCAGAUUUGCUACAAUUUUCGCACAGGCUUUCCCUUCUUCGCGUUCGCGGACUCCCUUCGCGUUUGCGAUGCUCGGUGACCCCCUCUCUUCGCGGACGCAUUUUUGGACUUGGGAAAUCUGGCAGCAAUUUUUGCACAGACAUUUGGUUCUACGCGAUCGCAGCCUCAUCCACGCGAUCGCACUGCCUUGGUUUCUUUCUCUACGCGAUUGCAGCUUCUUUCACGCGAUCGCCUGGUUUCUAGCUCCCCUUCUCCCCGAUCGCAGUCCAAUCCAUGCAUUCACGUAGUCCAAACCUGACCCCCAGUGAAUUUCCUCUACGCGAUCGCAUCGUCCCUCAUGCGACCGUGUAGCUCCCAGUCUUCCUUCACCGCGAUAGCAGCCCAUUUUACACGAUUGCGUAGGGCAAUUUUUCUGCCCAGUGAUUAAAGUUCUGAAAAUAGAACAGAGACGGGAUAAAAAAAUCCCAUCUCUCAAACUCUCUUCUCCACAACUUUUGGGGCGAUUUUGGAGCAUUUCUUCACCAAAGUUCAUUGGGUAAGUAAUUUAUACUUCGUUUCCUUCAUUUUUCUUCAACAUCAAUCAAAUUCCUAGGCCUAAACAUGUGAAAUUGGGUAGAAAAUUUGUGAAAUGGGUAUAGUUAGGGUUUUCAAGUAAUUUAUGAUUUAGACCUCGUUUUGGGGUCGAACUUAAGAACAAAUUGUAUAUUGUAACUCGUGGAUGAAUGGGUUGUCGGAAAUUGGUUUGAACCUCGUAUUUUGACCAUGUGGGCCAGUGGUCUAUUUUUAUUAUUUCGGGCAGAAUGUUGUAAAAUAUAUAUUUAGCCAUUUGGAUUAUUUUGUUAAGUAGUGUUGAUGAUAUUAAAUCAAUUGUGUAUCGAUACAAUUGAAUUGGAGCCAAAUUCGAAAAGAAAGGGCAUUGUUAAGGAUUGAGUUUAUCGUAAACCUUCGAGGUAAGUGUUUGAUAUAUCUUAGCUUGAGGAAAUAAGAGUUGAGUCUAUACGCUAAUUGCUAUGUGUGGAGUCCGACGUAUAGGCAUGGUGACGAGUAUCUAUACGUUGGGGGUCGAGCAUGACAGUAAGUUUUAAAUUGAUUAAACUUUAAUAAUCUUAUGUGAUUAUAUGAAAGGAAUUAUUAUUAUUGGUUUCAUACCGGUAAUAUUUAUAUUAUUGAGUUAAAAACUUAUUGGUUUCAUACCAAUAAUAUUUAUAUUGUUGAUGUAAAUGAUAUUUGGUCUUAUACAGGUAAUAUUUAUAUAGCUGAUUAAUUAUUAUUAGUUUUCUACCGGUAAUAUAUUACAAUGAUUAUUGUUAUUGUCCAUAGUUUCCGAUGACGAGGAAGAGUGAUUAUGCACGAUGGUCUUUCCGUGCCUUGAUAUAUAUAUAUAUAUAUAUAUAUAUAUAUUAUUGUUAUUGGCCAUAGUUGCCGGUGACAAGGAAGAGUGAUUAUGCACGAUAGGUCAUUCCGUGCCUCGAUAUGAGAGUGUGAGAGUAAAAGUACGAUGGGUGAUGCCGUACAUCUUAAUUGAUUAUUUGGUGAGAACAAGAGUAAAAGUACGAUGGGUGAUGACGCACAUCUUAAUUGAUUAUUUGGUGAGAACGAGGGUAAAAGCACGAUGGUUGGUGUCGUACAGAUUGUGAUUUACCCGUCCUCAUUAAUUGAAGUUCAUUUAUUCUGCAUCUAUUAUUACAUUUUGUCGCUAUCCCAGAGCAUGUUCUCCCUUCCCAAAUAUUUAAUGUUGCUUCCCGUUAUUUCUGUUGUGUGUGUGUGUGUAUAUAUAUAUAUAUAUAUGACUGUGUCACACCUCCUUUUUACCGUCCCGUAAGGGGUGAAGGGAUUAAGGGAGUUUUUCCAAUUAAAGGACAAUCGAACGGGAUUUGUUUAAUUAUAUAAAAGUCGCCACUUGGGAGAUUUAGGGUGUCUCAAGUCACCAAUUUUAAUCCCGAAUCGAGGAAAGGAAUGGACUCUAAAUUACAGUCUGCGUACCAGAUAUCCGGAUAAGGAAUUCUGUUAACCCGGGAGAAGGUGUUAAGCAUUCCCGAGUUCCGUGGUUCUAGCGUCUGCGUACCAGAUAUUCGGAUAAAGAAUUCUGUUAACCCGGGAGAAUGUGUUAGGCAUUCCCGAGUUCCAUAGUUCUAGCACGGUCACUCAACUGUUAUAUUCGGCUUAUUUAUCUAAUUUUAAUAAUUAUGUACUUAAUGCAAAUUAUGACUCUUUUACCGCUUUUAUUAUAUUUAUUUACAGAGAAUUGCAGUGUCGUGAAAACGCAUCUUGAACCACGUCACAACCAGUGUGCACGUGGUCGUCAACACAUUUCGACUCCGUUGAAAUUUGGAUUUGGGUCACAUAAAUGUGCACCCGAGUUUAGGGAGGUAAUUUUUAAAUACGCGCCUAAAGAGUCUAGCGCGUUAUUAUUUUGGGAAAGGCCGUACAAUCCGCUAAACGGCUCAUCCCGAAUUCUAAGUGUCUAAAAUAUAUAUUUAUUUUUAAAAGGAUAAUCCUAAAGUGACUACAUUUUUCUAAUUAAAUUUGUCUCUAAAAUAAAGAAAGAAAAAUCCUUAUUAAUUUACAUGCUUGGGCCUCUUAUUGUCAGCAUUAGAUUUAUGCUAGCGAUUAUUAAAAUGCACUUGAACUUGAAAGAUAAGAUUGCCUCACGUCUUAUUUUAUAAACGAGCUACAAAAGCGGUGCACUUGAACUUGAAAGACGAAAAUUGCCUCACGUCUUAUUUUAUAAACGAGCUACAAAAGCGGUUAUGCAUACAAGAUUGAUAAAGUAUUGAAAGUGAAAUAACGAUUCUAAAAUUAAUUUAUACUAAUAUUUCUAAAAUGAAUUUAGAUAAGCGGAAUUAACAACUAAAAAAAUUAUUAACACGAACACGAAUAUUUGACUUAUGUCCUGCCUAAUAGAAUCAAGUGCUACUUACUUAAGCAAUGUUGCUACAAAUUUCCAAAAAAAAAAAAUUUGUUCAAUGAGGCGAUUGUUGGGUAUUUGGACAUAUCCUAACAAGCCUAACCUAUUUUUAAAAUACACUAUUUAACAAAUAGCACCAAAACUGCAGAAUGUAGGUUCUACAACUUCAAUUCAUUUUUACUAAGCAUACGAGGGUGAAAAUCUACAACUAAACUACUAUAGAAUAUUGUUCAAUUAUACAUAAACCACAUUUAUAUGAUUUUAAUAAGAAACACGAGCUAUCAUAUAUGUACAACCUAAUAUCCAAGAUACCAAACUAAAAUAAAUUUAAAAGAAACAACUUCAACUUCUUCAUUUCUAUAUUCAUGCUACAAAUUUCAGAUUACAAGGUUCAGCAAAUCAAUUAUGUAACUGAUAUUUGGCAAAAGUAAAGAGGAAUAGGGAGAUCAGUUUGGUGACAAUAUACACAAUGACAGCAAUUCAGCAACACCCAAUGAAUCCAGUAACAUCGCAGUAGUAGAAAUCCCAAGGAUAGAUUAAAAUCAAGCAGAAGGAUCCAAUAGCAGAUUCAACAACCAAACAGGAGGAAUCCAAGAAUAGAUGAAAUAGCAAUUGAAUACCACUAGAAAAUCUCAACAAACCCAAAUGAAUACCAGCAAUAUAAGAAACCAACUAAUGAACCUCAGUCAAAACAGAAGAGAAAAAUGAAAGGCAACAAUAGCUUCUUGCCUUUGAACACUCAGGGAAACAAAACUUGGAAUUUUCAAUGAACCAAUAGGAAACACUAAGACUGAUUUUUUUUAGCAAUAUAUACUAUACUCUCCUAAUAUUCAACUUCUAAAGUUAAAAUUCAGUUUUAUAAGUUCUGAAUUCUAAUCUCCAAAAUUAGUCCCCUUUUAGGGUCAAAAUGACUCCUUCUUUAUCCUAAAACUAACAGCCCCUUCCUCCCUUUUUGAAAGUCUUCCCCACCCUCAAAAUCCAAAAUAUAACCAUUUUUCAACUUAAAAUCUGAAAAAAUCUGCUUCUUUUGAAAAAUUUAACUACCCUACCCCCAAAAUAUCAAAAGUCUGCCCAUCUUUUGAAAAACUUAAUCAAGAGUGCCUUUUUUCUUAACUUCUUCCUUAAUUUAAGGCACAUCUUAAGGCUUGACUAACAGACCAUUAGCUUAGUCAAUUCUGCCCACUUUUCAUUCCCAAAAUACCCCUAAAAUCCUACUGUUAAAACAUGAUUCAAAAUCUGUUCAAACUUAAUAACGGACCAAAACUCGUUCUGAAUACUCACAACUAAACAACUAGAUAGCUAUGACCAAUCCACAACCUAAGUUCAAACAGGUUAUAACAUAUUAAUCAAGCAAAGCCCUACUGGCAGGAAUUUUUCAUUUUUAUUUCAACAUUUAAGUAUGAAAAACUAAUCGACGACAUUUAUGAGAUUGACUACACAAACUAUAAUAUGUAUUGGUUAACAACAAACAAACAGAAACAGGCAGCACACAUGUGAUUCGAGCGACAUUCGACAAAACAGGGAGUUAUAAUAAAACUAACUAAUCGACGAAACUAAUCAAGUCAAUUCAUGAUUUAUUGCAUAAAACACUAAACAAACAAAAAAUAAGAAAUAAUCACACAAAUGGGUGAUUUCAGUGGUAUUGACAAAAACACGGGCUAACCGGAAACUAAUUAAUCGAUGAAACUUAUUCAUCGAUUGCACAGUCUAUAAUGUAUACUAAACAAACGAACAGAAAAAAAAGAUCAAAUAAAAGGUCUGAUUUGGGAAGAAGAAGAACAGAAGACAAGACCAAAAGAUCAAACAAUCCUAUACAACUAAUCGACGACACUUAUUUAAUCGAUUACAUCACAUAUAAUCGAUAACAAAUAAUCGACACAAAGAUAAUGUGAUUCAUGGAAUUUGGACAAAGCCGGGGAUUAUAAUAUAAUUCAACUAAUUGACAAAAUUAGUCGAAUCGAUUAUCUAAUUUAUAUCAUACACUCAACAAACGAGCAGAAAUAAAUUCGUCCAAAUAAACGGUCAGGGAAGAUAAACAGAAUAAUCAGAAAAAAGAAAAAUUGAAAAAUUGAAAAACCAACGAAACUAAACUGAAAACCAUAAACAGACGACCCAAUGGAACAUAAAAAAGAAAAACAAAAUACCUCAUUAAUUUGAAAAUUGGACGAACUAGCUUGACCUUGGACCCGGACUCGAACCAGACUUGACCUUUUUGAGGUCGAAUGGACCUUAAUCGAGUGUUCUUAGUUGAGGACACUUCGACUAAGGUCUAUUAGACCUCAAAUCCUCUGUUAAUUUGGCCAGACUUCAAACUUUGGAUUUUUUAGGGUUCAUACGGAUGAUUUGGGGCUCGUGGUUUUCUGGGUAGAUUCGAACCAAACCAAGCUUGGUUUGGUCACGAGUGAGGUCAAGGGAGUGUUUGGUGCAAGUUUAUGGUCGAUUGGCAUAGGUUGAGUUUGGACUCAAAUCUUCGAAUGAAGAUUCGAGAAGUUUGGGCUUGAUUCGAGAGAUGUGGCUAGGUUAGUCGUGUUUGGGGUGAAUUGGGGGUUCUAUGGUGUUGAGGAGGUGACAGGCGGCGUUGUUGCCGCCGGGUUUCUAGUGUAAAUUGACUUAUGGCGGCUAGGGUUUCGGGGCUCUGGCCUCUGAUGGUUUGAGAGGUAGAAGAAGAAUAAGGAGGGUAGGGUGCCUUUGGGGGGUGCGGGGUGAGAGAAAAGGGAUUAUAUACGAGGUGGGGGAGAUGAAUCUUGGUCGUUGGAUAGUCAGUGAUCAACGGCUUGGAUCAAAUUGUUUAAGUGAAACGGAGUCGUUUGAUGUAGGUACCGGGUCG
rnacentral:lncRNA from 1 species